rnacentral:tRNA from 1 species
AAAGGGAGACCUAAUUCGGGUAGGAGACGAAAAAAAAGUAGUCCCUACCAAGAAUCAAUCCCAAAAGGUCGGAACGAGGUAUGUGGCUUUCAAACUAGGUUCUGGGUUCAUAAAAGACCUGAAUCAGGAACAAGGGCUAUUAGCUCAGGUGGUUAGAGCGCACCCCUGAUAAGGGUGAGGUCCCUGGUUCGAGUCCAGGAUGGCCCACCUGCACAGGUGGCAAAAACAAGAGAAACGAGGAAUCAGCACCUUAUCUUACUCAUAUAGUAAGAGAGAAUGCUGGCUCUGAGUAAAGAGUCCAGAGGAACCUUGAAAACUGCAUAGAGCUAGGUGAAAAAGCCAAAAAAGAAGACCGCAAG